rnacentral:rRNA from 1 species
UACGUAAGGUCCAAGCGUUAACCGGAAUUAUUGGGCGUAAAGCGUCCGCAGGCGGUUUGCCAAGUUGAUUAUGAAAUACCGACGCUCAACGUCGGUGCUGUAGUCAAAACUGGUAAACUAGAGAUAUGGAGAGGUGCGUGGAAUUGUGCAAGUAGGGGUAAAAUCCGUAGAUAUGCACAGGAACACCAAAAGCGAAGGCAGCGCACUGGCCAUUAUCUGACGCUCAUGGACGAAAGCGUGGGGAGCGAAAGGG